rnacentral:rRNA from 1 species
GCAAGUCGAACGAGAACGAGAUUGCUUGCAAUCUUUAGUAGAGUGGCGCACGGGUGAGUAACACGUAGAUAAUCUACCUUCAAGCCUGGAAUAACUAUUCGAAAGGGUAGCUAAUGCCGGAUAAAGUUUAUCAGCAUAAGUUGAUUUAUGAAAGAUUGCCGCUUCUUGAAAGCAAUUGGUUGGAGAUGAGUUUGCGGACCAUUAGUUUGUUGGUGGGGUAAAGGCCUACCAAGGCUGCGAUGGUUAGCUGGUCUGAGAGGAUGAUC